rnacentral:rRNA from 1 species
GAGUUUGAUCCUGGCUCAGAGCGAACGCUGGCGGCAUGCUUAACACAUGCAAGUCGCACGGUCAGCAAUGGCAGUGGCGGACGGGGUGAGUAACACGUAGGAAUCUAUCUCUGGGUGGGGGACAACAGUGGGAAACUACUGCUAAUACCGCAUGAUACCUGAGGGUCAAAGGCGUAAGUCGCCUGGAGAGGAGCCUGCGUCUGAUUAGCUUGUUGGUGGGGUAAAGGCCUACCAAGGCUACGAUCAGUAGCUGGUCUGAGAGGAUGAUCAGCCACAUUGGGACUGAGACACGGCCCAAACUCCUACGGGAGGCAGCAGUGGGGAAUAUUGGACAAUGGGCGAAAGCCUGAUCCAGCAAUGCCGCGUGUGUGAAGAAGGUCUUCGGAUUGUAAAGCACUUUUGGCAGGGACGAUGAUGACGGUACCUGCAGAAUAAGCCCCGGCUAACUUCGUGCCAGCAGCAGCCGCGGUAAU